UACGUAGGGUGCGAGCGUUAAUCGGAAUUACUGGGCGUAAAGCGUGCGCAGGCGGUUGUGCAAGACAGAUGUGAAAUCCCCGGGCUUAACCUGGGAACUGCAUUUGUGACUGCACGGCUAGAGUGUGUCAGAGGGGGGUAGAAUUCCACGUGUAGCAGUGAAAUGCGUAGAGAUGUGGAGGAAUACCGAUGGCGAAGGCGGCACUCUGGGCCGGUACUGACGCUGAGGAGCGAAAGCGUGGGGAGCAAACAGG
rnacentral:rRNA from 1 species